rnacentral:rRNA from 1 species
AUUGAACGCUGGCGGCAGGCCUAACACAUGCAAGUCGAACGGUAACAGGAAGCAGCUUGCUGCUUUGCUGCCGAGUGGCGGACGGGUGAGUAAUGUCUGGGAAACUGCCUGAUGGAGAGGGAUAACUACUGGAAACGGUAGCUAAUACCGCAUAACGUCGCAAGACCAAAGAGGGGGACCUUCGGGCCUCUUGCCAUCGGAUGUGCCCAGAUGGGAUUAGCUAGUAGGUGGGGUAACGGCUCACCUAGGCGACGAUCCCUAGCUGGUCUGAGAGGAUGACCAGCCACACUGGAACUGAGACACGGUCCAGACUCCUACGGGAGGCAGCAGUGGGGAAUAUUGCACAAUGGGCGCAAGCCUGAUGCAGCCAUGCCGCGUGUAUGAAGAAGGCCUUCGGGUUGUAAAGUACUUCCAGCGGGGAGGAAGGGAGUAAAGUUAAUACCUUUGCUCAUUGACGUUACCCGCAGAAGAAGCACCGGCUAACUCCGUG